UCAAUAUAAAUUGAAAUAGAUUUUAUUUAUUAAAAUUAUUGGGUUUUAAAUUAAAUUAUUAAAAAUAAUAUAAAAAAUAAUGUUUUAGUAUUUUAUGAAGAAAAAAUAAUUUUUAUUAUAGUGAAUUAGUAUUGUGAAAGAAAAUUGAAAUAAUUUGAAAAAUUUUUAUUUUAAAAGAAAAUUUAAUUUAUUGUACCUUGUGUAUCAGGGUUUAUCAAAUAAAUAAUAAUUAUAUAUUUUUCUCGAUUUUAAAAGAGUUAAUAAAUUAUGAAAGUAAUGUAGCAAAAUUAUUUUAAAUAAUUUAUUAGAAAUGAAAUGUUAUUCGUUUUUAAAGGUAUCUAGUUUUUUAAGAAAUAAAUUUAAUUUAGAAAUAUUAAAUUUAUUUAAUUAAUUUUUUAAUUAAAUAAUUUUUUAUUUUAAUAUUUUAUGGGAUAAGCUGUAAAAUAAAAUUUUAAAAAUAAAAUAUAAUAUUUAUAAAAAUAUAUGCUUAGAAUUAGCAAUUAUUUAAAAAUUUGUUAUAAUUUAUUAUAAUAAUUAUAUUAUUUAUUUUAUUUUAAGUUUUUAUUAAAAAAUUCAAUUAAAUUAAAAAAUUGAAGUUAUAAUGAUAAAAUUAGUAUAUUUAUAUGUGAAAAUAAAUUUAAAUGAAAAGUUUAAAUAAAGAAUUCGGCAAAAUUUAAUGUUCGCCUGUUUAACAAAAACAUGUCUUUUUGAAUUAAUUUUAAAGUCUAGCCUGCCCACUGAAAUAAUUUUAAAUGGCCGCAGUAUAUUAACUGUGCAAAGGUAGCAUAAUCAUUAGUCUUUUAAUUGAAGGCUGGUAUGAAUGGUUGGACGAAAUAUAAACUGUUUCAUUUAAAUUUUUUAUAGAAUUUUAUUUUUUAGUCAAAAAGCUAAAAUUUAAUUAAAAGACGAGAAGACCCUAUAAAUCUUUAUAUUUAGAUUAUUUUAAUUAAUAAGAUUAAUUAAAUUAUAAUAAUUUACAAUAUUUUAUUGGGGUGAUAUUAAAAUUUAAAAAACUUUUAAUUUAUAAAUACAUUAAUUUAUGAAUAAUUGAUCCAUUAUUAAUGAUUAAAAAUUUAAGUUACUUUAGGGAUAACAGCGUAAUUUUUUUGGAGAGUUCAUAUCGAUAAAAAAGAUUGCGACCUCGAUGUUGGAUUAAGAUAUAAUUUUGGGUGUAGCCGUUCAAAUUUUAAGUCUGUUCGACUUU
rnacentral:rRNA from 1 species